UACGUAGGGUGCAAGCGUUGUCCGGAAUUAUUGGGCGUAAAGAGCUCGUAGGCGGUUUGUCGCGUCGAAUGUGAAAACCCGGGGCUCAACCCCGGGCCUGCAUUCGAUACGGGCAGACUAGAGUUCGGUAGGGGAGUCUGGAAUUCCUGGUGUAGCGGUGAAAUGCGCAGAUAUCAGGAGGAACACCGAUGGCGAAGGCAGUGGUCUGGGCCGAUACUGACGCUGAGGAGCGAAAGCGUGGGGAGCGAACAGG
rnacentral:rRNA from 1 species